rnacentral:rRNA from 1 species
UGGGGAAUAUUGGACAAUGGACCAAGAGUCUGAUCCAGCAAUUCUGUGUGCACGAUGAAGUUUUUCGGAAUGUAAAGUGCUUUCAGUUGGGAAGAAAGAAAUGACGGUACCAACAGAAGGAGUGACGGCUAAAUACGUGCCAGCAGCCGCGGUAAUACGUAUGUCACGAGCGUUAUCCGGAUUUAUUGGGCGUAAAGCGCGUCUAGGUGGUUAUGUAAGUCUGAUGUGAAAAUGCAGGGCUCAACUCUGUAUUGCGUUGGAAACUGUAUAACUAGAGUACUGGAGAGGUAAGCGGAACUACAAGUGUAGAGGUGAAAUUCGUAGAUAUUUGUAGGAAUGCCGAUGGGGAAGCCAGCUUACUGGACAGAUACUGACGCUGAAGCGCGAAAGCGUGGGUAGCAAACAGGAUUAGAUACCCUGGUAGUCCACGCCGUAAACGAUGAUUACUAGGUGUUGGGGGUCGAACCUCAGCGCCCAAGCAAACGCGAUAAGUAAUCCGCCUGGGGAGUACGUACGCAAGUAUG